UACGUAGGGUGCAAGCGUUGUCCGGAAUUAUUGGGCGUAAAGAGCUCGUAGGCGGUCUGUCGCGUCAGCUGUGAAAACCCGGGGCUCAACCCCGGGCCUGCAGUCGAUACGGGCAGACUAGAGUGUGGUAGGGGAGACUGGAAUUCCUGGUGUAGCGGUGAAAUGCGCAGAUAUCAGGAGGAACACCAAUAGCGAAGGCAGCUCGCUGGGACGUUACUGACACUGAGGCGCGAAAGCGUGGGGAGCGAACAGG
rnacentral:rRNA from 1 species